GUGUUAAGUGGAAAAGGAUGUGGGAUUUCGAAGACAACUAGGAUGUUGGCUCAGAAGCAGCCAUACAUUAAAAGAGUGCGUAAUAGCUCACUAGUCGAGAGGUCCUGCGCCGAAAAUGUCCGGGGCUGAAACACGACACCGAAGCUUAGGAACAGAAAUGUUGGUAGAGGAGCAUUGUUAGCGGAACGAAGCCAUACCGGAAGGAGUGGUGGACUGCUAAGAAGAGAGAAUGCCGGAAUGAGUAGCGAGAAUGAAGUGAGAAUCUUCAUGGCCGAAUAUCUAAGGUUUCCAGGGUAAAGCUGAUCUGCCCUGGGUAAGUCGGGGCCUAAGGCGAGGUCGAAAGACGUAGCCGAUGGACAACAGGUUGAAAUUCCUGUACUGCGAUAUAUCAGAAAUGUGGGGACACAGAAGGAAAGUGUGAGCCGGGAAAGGAAAGACCGGUGCAAGCACAGGAGGAGAGAUGCAGGCAAAUCCGCAUCCCAAUCCAAAGGUGUGACGCGGAGCGAACAAAAGUAGCGAAGCACAUGGACCAUCUGUCGAGAAAAGCCGCUAUUGUGUAUAUUGUACCCGUACCGUAAACCGACACAGGUGGAUGAGGAGAGAAUCCUAAGGCCGGCGGGAGAAGCAUUGUUAAGGAACUCGGCAAAAUGACCCCGUAACUUCGGGAGAAGGGGUGCUCACGCAAGUGAGCCGCAGAGAACUGGCCCAAGCAACUGUUUAGCAAAAACACAGGUCUAUGCAAAACCGAAAGGUGAGGUAUAUGGGCUGACGCCUGCCCGGUGCUGGAAGGUUAAGAGGAGAUGUUAGAGCAAUCGAAGCAUUGAAUUUAAGCCCCAGUAAACGGCGGCCGUAACUAUAACGGUCCUAAGGUAGCGAAAUUCCUUGUCGGGUAAGUUCCGACCCGCACGAAAGGCGUAAUGAUUUGGGCACUGUCUCGACAAUGCACCCGGUGAAAUUGAAAUACCAGUGAAGAUGCUGGUUACCUGCGCCAGGACGGAAAGACCCCAUGGAGCUUUACUCUAGCUUGAUACUGGGAUUCGGUAUUGCAUGUACAGGAUAGGUGGGAGACUAAGAGGUGAUGACGCCAGUUGUCACGGAGUCGAUGUUGGGAUACCACCCCUGCAGUACUGGGUUUCUAACCUGCGGCCGUAACCCGGCCGGGGGACAAUGUCUGGUGGGGAGUUUGACUGGGGCGGUCGCCUCCGAAAGGGUAUCGGAGGCGCUCAAAGGUUCCCUCAGAAUGGUUGGAAACCAUUCGAAGAGUGCAAAGGCAGAAGGGAGCUUGACUGCGACACCGACGGGUGGAGCAGGUACGAAAGUAGGACUUAGUGAUCCGGUGGUAUGAAAGUGGGAUUGCCAUCGCUCAACGGAUAAAAGCUACCCUGGGGAUAACAGGCUUAUCACUCCCAAGAGUUCACAUCGACGGAGUGGUUUGGCACCUCGAUGUCGGCUCAUCGCAUCCUGGGGCUGUAGUAGGUCCCAAGGGUUGGGCUGUUCGCCCAUUAAAGCGGUACGCGAGCUGGGUUCAGAACGUCGUGAGACAGUUCGGUCCCUAUCCGGCGUGGGCGUAGGAUAUCUGAGAGGAGCUGUCCUUAGUACGAGAGGACCGGGAUGGACUGACCUCUGGUGCAUCGGUUGAGCCACCAGGCUCAUGGCCGAGUAGCCAAGUCGGGACGGGAUAAACGCUGAAGGCAUCUAAGCGUGAAGCCCCCCUCAAGAUGAGAUAUCCCAUAGAGUAAUCUAGUAAGACCCCUUGAAGACGACGAGGUAGAUAGGCAGAAGGUGGAAGUGUGGUGACAUAUGGAGCUGAUCUGUACUAAUAGGUCGAGGGCUUAACCG
rnacentral:rRNA from 1 species